UGAGGAAUCUUGCGCAAUGGGGGAAACCCUGACGCAGCGACGCCGCGUGGAGGACGAAGGCCCUCGGGUCGUAAACUCCUGUCGAGCGGGACGAAUGCCGUGGGGAUGAAUAAGUCUCACGGUUGACGGUACCGCUGGAGGAAGCCCCGGCUAACUCCGUGCCAGCAGCCGCGGUAAUACGGAGGGGGCCAGCGUUGUUCGGAUUUAUUGGGCGUAAAGGGCGUGCAGGCGGCUUGGUAAGUCAGUUGUGAAAUCCCUCGGCUCAACCGAGGAACUGCGACUGAAACUGCCGGGCUUGAGUCCCGGAGAGGGUAGCGGAAUUCCCAGUGUAGCGGUGAAAUGCGUAGAUAUUGGGAGGAACACCAGUGGCGAAGGCGGCUACCUGGACGGGUACUGACGCUGAGACGCGAAAGCGUGGGGAGCAAACAGGAUUAGAUACCCCCGUAGUCC
rnacentral:rRNA from 1 species